rnacentral:rRNA from 1 species
UACGAAGGGUGCAAGCGUUAUCCGGAUUCAUUGGGUUUAAAGGGUGCGUAGGCGGCCCUAUAAGUCAGUGGUGAAAGCCUCCAGCUCAACUGGAGAACUGCCAUUGAUACUGUAGGGCUUGAGUACAGACGAGGUUGGCGGAAUUGAUUGUGUAGCGGUGAAAUGCUUAGAGAUCGUCCAGAACACCGAUAGCGAAGGCAGCUUACUAAGGAGUAACUGACGCUGAGGCACGAAAGUGUGGGGAUCAAACAGG